rnacentral:lncRNA from 1 species
AAAACAAUAAGAAAGAGUGUGUGCCAAGAGUCUAGUAAAAAUUGUGGACGAACAUUUUUGAAAGAUAUUCAUUCACUUGGUUGGGCACACACAAUAACAAACAUAAAUAUGUUUAUUACAUGCUUAAUUCAUAAACAGAUUAAUCAAUUCAUAAUAAUACCUACAAAUAAAAAUAUUUAAUAUGAUUGCCUUUCAAAUUAGGGACAAAUCCUAAGAAUUGGUUCAUGAAGCGAAUGAACAUAAUUUAUGCCACAGUCCAUCUUUCUACUAUUUUCUAUCUAUUUUUGUCUUCUUUUUAUUUUUUUAUUUAUUUUAUUUAUUUUCUCUCUUAUUUUCUCUCAUGGUCAAUGGUCCAUGGUGGAACGACCUCGUCAGCCUUGAUUACUUGGGGACUAGGGAUCGAUGUCCUUGCCUAGAAAUUAAUGUAAAGGUCAAGUCUGCCCUUGGUCACAUUAAUUAUGUUAAUUAAGUAUUCAUUUAAUUAGCUAAUUAAUGAGGCCUAAAGUAAAGUUUAUCUCCACAAAUCAAGGAGUAACGGAAUCAUUCAAUUUCCAUGAUUUCAUCUAUCUCCUUCGAUAAAGGGAUAAUUCCUUGAAUAAUUUGGCUACAAGAUAAUUCCCCUAUCUAUAGGCAAGGAUAAUCAUUCCCCUAUCAUCAUCAGAAAUGUUGGAUAAGAUGUUUCUAUUAAAUUAAGAUGUUUCUAGGAGUUUCCAUUUAAUUUGGUGGGAUUUGAAAUACGUCAUGAGCUAUAUAUGGAAUUGUUUUUUUACAAAAUUAGUUAAAUACCCAUUCCUAGACAUAAAACUAUAAAAAUACCCUAUACUAUUUAAUGUAUAUAAACACACCCAAAAUAAACCCAAAAAUCGACAGCUGUAUAUUUUUUAAUUUAAUUAUUAAGAUGAAAUACCUUUAUUACCUUUUUAACAUAAAAUUGGAAUUCUAAUCAACACCAGAUUAGAACUCAUUACACGACCUCCAGUCUCUCAUCUUUAUCUUCAACCCCAAUUUUCAGUUUUUGUUCUUCCACUUCAAUCUCAUCAUUGUUCUUCCACCUCAGUUUUUGUUCAAUCUCUUCAUUCUAAGCUUCGUUGGAGGGCUCGCCUGGGCCACCAACAAUGAUGCACUGGAGAAGGCCUUUCUCCAUUUGGUGAGAUCAUCGAAUCGCAGGGUCGUUCGACCUUUACUACUUGAUCUUCUGUUUCUCUAUGUUACUUGAUCUUUCUUUCCCAAAGAUUGAAGAUCGAUAGAUUCCUUUUCAUUUUUUGUUUAUUAUUGUGUAUUUGUUUGAUUAUACUCUGACGUUUUCGUUUUGACGGACGACUCUGAUUUGAUUUGGUUUCUUUUUGUGUUUCUAGAUCAUCAACGACCGUGAGACUGGGAGGUCCAGGGGCUUCGGCUUCGUCACCUUCAGCAAUGAGAACGCCAUGAGAGAUGCCCGAAGGCAUGAACGACCAGAACUUCGACGGUCGUAACAUACCGUAAAUGAGGCCUAGUCUUGUGGAAGCUAAAAUGAAAUGUUGUAAUAUGUAUGUGUCUACAUGUAUUGUAUUUUCAGCUGUGGAUAAGGAAUUUUUGGGAUUUUAGAUUUGCUGGCCAAGUUUCCUCUAAAUUCUAUAAAGAUGAAGCAGCCAUUCUGUAUGCAACCUUGGGAUUCUUCUCCAAAGAUUGUCAAGAAACUGUUCAAGGUAUGUGAAUUUCAAACUGUUGGAGGCCUGAUUUUGUUAAGUUCUUUUACAAAUAUAGGACAUCGUUCGUGAAAGAUGUCAUAUGCUCUAUCUAUUAUUGCAUUUGCUUUUUCAUAUUUAUGAGGUCUGUUUUCUUAUUCAUGAUUAUACGACCUCUAAAAGCUUGGAAUAAUUAUUUUGUGCUAGCUAAUACUGCCUAAUGGUCUCUCAUUACUCUUACCAUUCUUUUUCGUCUACGCUCUCAUUGCAUAGAUUGAAGUCAUAGGUUGUUCUUGCAGAGAUGUUAUGAGAUUUGAUUAUCAACACAUCUGUAUUCUGCAAGUUAAGUGCUAUCCAAAUUCCAAAAGGACGACCUUGGCUUUGAAAAGUGGAAAAAUUGUCUGUAUACUAUGGGUAAUGGGUUAGUUAGGUUCUGGGUCACAGUAAAAAACAAGCCAGAAACUUCAAGCAUAGAAGAGUUGAUUGCAAACCGUGCAUCAAUUUGGCAAGUAGAGCUUUGCCAUCUGUUAUGUGAAUGGGAGGGGUUCAUUUGUCCAAUACAUUCCCAUAUUCCAAUUGGGUUGUAGCUUUGUCCAAUCAAUCUCAUGGCUUCGUAGGUGGUUCCACCAUUUUAGUCCAACAAAUGAAAAAUUGAGACUUCAAUGGGUAAUCAAAACCCCAACUCUUGCUUCCCAUUUUGAUCAUUAACUGCAUUAAGAGCUUAGAACUGAAGAGACAUUACAGAAUCAAAAUACCCUUUUGUUAAAUGUAAAUGCACUUAAUAUUUUGAGUUGAUUUAAUUUCUCUGGAAGAAACUUGGAUUUUUGUUGUACUCUUGUCUAACCCAAGUUAACUUUAACUGUUUUGUUUCAAGUUACUUUCAUUGUCAAAAACUUUCAUUAUAAGGAAUGAAUGAAUGAAUGAAUUAUAUAUACUUUUCAUAAAAAUUCCUGAAAUAUUCAGUUCAAAAUCAAUGAUCACUAUACACAAUUUCACCUAACAGUAAGCGACCAAAAUCGAUUGUUUUGGUCCCAGAAAUUAACAUGUGGAAGUCUCUCAUGGUUUUGAAGUUAUCUUCAAUAACCACAUGUUUCUCCAUCUCUUCGAGGGCAAGGCGAGCAGCUUCUCUAUCCCUCUGCCGCUGCUUUUUGAUGAACUCAUUGGCUCUCAUAAUUUCUGCUUCUGCAUCUCCAAGCCUCUCGUUCUUGGUUUCGGUGGUAAUUGUUGUAGUGUAGAGAGCACUGUUAUGUUCUGCCUUAAGGAUUGUGUUGGCAAACCGAGUCUUCAACAUUGCAACCCUAGCAGCCCUUCUCGGAGACAGAUUGUGAUUGAUCUCUUGAUUCGAUGCAGAGGUGGCUAUGACAGGAGAGGCACGACAGAGAUGAUGGCGUAGAACUGUGACUGGUGUUUCACAGCAACUUUGGGAUUGGGAUGAAGAAACCUCACAAGAAGUUGAUGGGGUACAGGGAAGUUCCUUGUUCAAACCCAAAGCACCUUCAAAUUUCCUCUUCACACCCAACCCAUAAUCCACUUUAUUUUUCUUGGAAGCCAAGCCACCGUCCACUUUCUUCUUCAAACCACCUUCAAGUUUCUUCUUCAAGCCCAAUUUACCACCAUAACCGCUAAGACCAUGUUUAUUGAAACCAACAUCUACGUCAAUAUCGGCCAUCUUAGGUACGAUCGUCUCCCUCUUUACCCUCUUGCUUUCUUGACCCACAAACCACGUUUCAAUGUCGGAAUCGAAGUCGGAAAGCGGUGGAAUUGGGUUUUUCAGAGGGCCGCUGACAACUUUCCUUGAAGAAGAGAAAGUUGAGGAAGACGAGAACGGGUUAGUCUUAGCAUGACCAAUCAUUACAUUCACAGAAGUCUUCGUUUUCAAUGGUUUGCACGGUUGAUUUGAGAGAAUGCUCUCAACCCAGGCUUUGGUGGUACGAGAGAAACGCAUGUUGAAUUUGGAUGAGAUAGAAGAAAGUGAGCAAGUAAGGAAUUAAGGGAGAUAGACAGAGAAAUAUAGAACCCUAACCCUAAACGCCUAUAGAGAGUGAAUUGAUGGAGAGAGUGAAUGCAAGCCAAGUGAAGUGAGUUGAUGAGAAAUGAAAACUCAAAUGAGUCUUUAAGACAUAGGGAGAGUUAAUCCUUAGUUGAUUAGGAAACCCAAAUGUAUAUAAUAAAUUUUUGCGUAUAACCUAACCCAAGCAACUGAAAAAACUAAAACCCCAGCUGUCCUAAACUCAUUACCACCGCCUCUCUCUUCUCCUCUUUUAAGUCUUUUUCAGAUAAUUUUUUUUUUCUUUCUUUUUUUUGGGUCAAAGUCAAAUAUGUUUGACAAAGUUUUUCGUAUAAAAAAAUUUCAUUUGUUUCCCUUAUCUACAUUUUUUUAUAAAGAUAAUCUUACAUAUAUAUUUUUUUUUUUUUUAAAACACUCAAAAUACCAUAAAAUGCCCUUUGUUGAUAUAAAAAUUAAAAAAUAAAAUUAUUAAUAAAAUGAGGAUAAUAUGGUAAUUUUUUUUCAUAUUAAAAAUAAAAUAAAAUAAUGAAUCCUAUUUUUAUGAAACACAACUACCCAUUUUAUCUUUUUUAUUUAUAAAAUUAAAAAAUUAAAAAAAAAAUAAGAAAGAGUGUGUGCCAAGAGUCUAGUAAAAAUUGUGGAUGAACAUUUUUGAAAGAUAUUCAUUUACUUGGUUGGGCACACACAAUAUGUUUAUUACAUGCUUAAUUCAUAAACAGAUUAUCAUAAUAAUAGCUGCAAAUAAAAAUAUUUAAUAUGAUUGCCUUUCAAAUUAGGCACAAAUCCUAAGAAUUGGUUCAUGAAGCGAAUGAACAUAAUUUAUGCCAUAGUCCAUCUUUCUACUAUUUUCUAUCUAUUUUUGUCUUCUUUUAUUUUUCUGAUUUUCUCUCAUAUUUUCUCUCAUGGUCAAUGGUCCAUGGUGGAACGACCUAGUCAGCCCUAACUACUUGGGGACCAGGGAUGUCCUUGCCUAGAAAUUAAUGUAAAGGUCAAGUCUGCCCUUG